GCUGGCGGCAGGCCUAAGACAUGCAAGUCGAACGGUAACGACACUAGCUUGCUAGUGGGCGACGAGUGGCGGACGGGUGAGUAACGCGUAGGAAUCUACCUAGUAGUGGGGGAUAGCCAAGGGAAACUUUGGGUAAUACCGCAUACGAUCUAAGGAUGAAAGGGGGCCUCUCUUUGAAGCUCUCGCUAUUAGAUGAGCCUGCGUAAGAUUAGCUUGUUGGUGAGGUAAUGGCUCACCAAGGCGACGAUCUUUAGCUGGUCUGAGAGGAUGAUCAGUCACACUGGAACUGAGACACGGUCCAGACUCCUACGGGAGGCAGCAGUCGGGAAUAUUGGACAAUGGGGGAAACCCUGAUCCAGCCAUGCCGCGUGUGUGAAGAAGGCCCUAGGGUUGUAAAGCACUUUUAGUAGUGAGGAAGGCUCAGUAGUUAAUACCUACUGGGAUUGACGUUAGCUACAGAAAAAGCACCGGCUAAUUUCGUGCCAGCAGCCGCGGUAAUACGAAAGGUGCAAGCGUUAAUCGGAAUUACUGGGCGUAAAGCGCGCGUAGGCG
rnacentral:rRNA from 1 species